GUGAAGUUUUAUUUUAGCUUAAAAGUUUCCUUUAGGUAGUAUUUUACAUGUAAAUUUUUGUGUGGAUUAAGGCUUGUACUUAAAAAGUUGCUUAAUUUUUAGUCGCAGUAAAAAGUUUUAAAAAAUCAAGUAUUCUUGGAUUUAGGCAUAUUUACUAAUAUUGACAAAGCUUGUGCCAGCAGUUGCGGUUAUACAAUCAAUGUAAGGUAAUUUUUUUGGUUUUAAUUAGUUUGUAAAUAUUAUAGUUUUAUAUUGGAUUUAUUAAGUGAAAUUUUAAUUUUAAUUAUAAUUAUAAUUUAUUUAAUGAGGUUGGGAAAUUUAUUUUUAAACUAGGAUUAGAUACCCUAUUAUUUUAAAUGUGAUGUUUUUACCUAAUUAGUAAUAGUUUUGUUCUUGAAAGUUAAAAAAUUUGGCGGUAUUUUAGUCUAUCCAGAGGAAUCUGUCCUGUAAUUGAUAGUCCACGAUUGGCGUUACUUGUUUUACAUAAGUUUAUAUAUCAUCGUUUUUGAGUAUUUUAGGAGAAAAAUAAUACUCAAGAGUUUAAAUUAAACAAAAAUUCAGAUCAAGGUGUAGCUUAUAAACUAGUAGAGAUGGAUUACAUUAAAUUAAUUUAUGGAUUAAUAAGGUUAAACUUUUUAUGAAAUUGGAUUUGGAAGUAAUUAAAUUUUAAUUUUUUUAGUGAUUUUGGCUCUAAAAUAUGCACAUAUUGCCCGUCGCUUUUGUUUUAAAAUAAAAUAAGUCGUAACAUAGUAGGCUCACUGGAAAGUGAGCCUAGAAGAGG
rnacentral:ncRNA from 1 species